GCCAGCGUAGCUUCAAUCGGCAGAGCACCGCAUUCGUAAUGCGGGGGUUGGGGGUUCGACUCCCCCCGCUGGCUUCA
rnacentral:tRNA from 1 species